rnacentral:lncRNA from 10 species
UUGAAAACUUCCUGAGGCCUCCUCAGAAGCAGAUGCUGCUAUGCUUCCCGUACAGCCUGAAGAACCAAGUAGCUGGGUGCAUGCCACCACGGCCAGAAACAUUUCUAUACAUUUAUGAGACCCAACUCCAAAAGCAUACUGGAAUGGAAUUAAAGACCGAACUACAGAAGCUAAAGAGAGCUGAUCAAACUAAAAAAAAAAGUUAAAGGUGAGGAGGCCAAGGCUCAGAAGAGUCACUUGCCCAUGAUCACUGCUCUUAUAGCGCCAACUCAGAGCUCAGGCAAUGCUCAUGUUCUUUCCACUGUGCCUCAUCGCUCAUGUCUGACUCUUCUAGAAAUGUGGGCAAAUCCCCUGCCUUCUGUGGGUCUCAGAUUUCCAUAAAAAAUAAAAUCAAUGGAUCAACUUA